CGUUAUAACGUGAGGCUUGGGAGUCGGGCAGUGGCUUGAAUCCACACUCCAAAACUUCCCAGGCAAGAAACUUAACCUUUCCGUGCCUCAGUGUUCUCAUCUGUAAAAUGGGGGUUACUUAAUAGAACCUCCCUCAGAUGUCUGUUGGGAGGGUUUGAUGCGAUCACUGACGCAUAGUGCUUAGCAAGGGGCCUGGCACGCCAUCUGCGCUCCAUCAGUGUUCGUUUCGUGAACAUUCUUAAGGAGAAGCUCACUAAAAUGGAGUCAGGAGGUCGGGCAGGCGGAGCUCGCAAGUCUUACCACUCAUAGCCGAUUGAAAAUCCAACAGGAAGCCAGGGAGCAUGCAGUUCUCUGCUAUGCCCGAAUAAACCCAUC
rnacentral:lncRNA from 1 species